CACGUAGGGCGCGAGCGUUGUCCGGAAUUAUUGGGCGUAAAGAGCUCGUAGGCGGCCUGUUGCGUCCGCUGUGAAAGCCCGGGGCUUAACCCCGGGUCGGCAGUGGGUACGGGCAGGCUAGAGGUAGGUAGGGGAGAAUGGAAUUCCCGGUGUAGCGGUGAAAUGCGCAGAUAUCGGGAGGAACACCGGUGGCGAAGGCGGGUCUCUGGGCCGAUACUGACGCUGAGGAGCGAAAGCGUGGGGAGCAAACAGG
rnacentral:rRNA from 1 species